GCAAAUAUUAAUAUCAUAAAUAAAAUUACACAUACGAGAGUAAUUUUUUGAACUUCUGAUUUCUCAGGGACAAUAGCAACAGGUUUGCGAUUCUUUUUUUCAAAUAGAAAUUCAUCUACUCGAUCCGCAACACAAGCAUCUUGUCACACCUCAAGAAUUUACAAUACUGUUAUUCUUGAGAUGUGACAGACAAAACAUAUAUACAUCUAUUGAUAGGACAAAUUUACAGUGGCGAGGUCUUACAAAGUAAAUAAAGAAAGCUAGCACAACAACAGUAUCUUCCAAGGUUGAUCUUGACUAGCACUCAAAAUGAAUCCGUUGUUAUCCUGAAAAAAUGUUUACCAUAGUUUGAUGAGUUUGGCUACUCAGUAAGUAAUCAUCAUAAUCCUAAAAAAAUAAUCAUGGUUGAAAGAUAUCAAUAUUUUCAAAAAGAAGAUCUAUUAACAGAAAUGCAUCAACAAUUUCACUUUCAAUAAAUGCAUAAUUAAGUAUAAUCCGAAUAAUUGAAAUGCACAUAACACUUUAACGCGUCAAUGCAUAAUUCAAAGGAUUUCACAAAAUACCCUACUGACGUCCCAAGUAGGUCACCUAUAUACCCCAUCAGCGUCCUGAUAGGUCCACUUAAUCCCUAUCGGCAUCCCAGAUAGGUCCACUUAAUCCCUGCAGGUCCACUUAUACCUCACCGGUGUACCGGAUGAGUCCACUUAAUCCCUACCGGCGUCCCGGAUAGGUCCACUUAUACCUCACCGGCGAACCGGAUGAGUCCACUUGCAUACUUAAAUUAUUUCAAAAUCUCUUUAAACAUUCGAAAGCAGCAAAUAUCAUGUACUCAACAUAUCACUGAAAUCACUAAUAUGAAUUUCACUAAAACCAUUAAUAACAGUCACUUUCAAUAACAUUUCAACCAAUCAAAUAUUUUGGGCUCAAAUUUAGAAAGGUAGCAAUUCGUAAGGACAUUCUAGCAUAAUUGCCAAUAUAAUAUGUAUAGGAAAACUCUUAUAGAAAUUCAAGAAUACGGAAUUAUCACAAUUUAUGGGAUGUUAAUUUGCAAAUAAACAUUUCACAAUAAUGCUAUAAUCAAAUGCAAAAAUAUCAAUUUUCAGAUAAUAAGGCAGUCAUUCGCAUAUGAAAUUUACAAUGUCUAAAUAUUUAAAAACAAUAGAAAGAAAUCUCACAAUUUUACUAAAAGCAGAAAUAUCACAUUUAUUUCUAAUAAUUUGAUAGUAUCUAAAAUUUUCAAACAAUAGACAAGAAAAAUAAAUAAAUUUAUUUUUCUAAAAAUUUCUACCAUAGAUAAAAUAUCACAAGUUUUAUAAAAAUAUUAUUUUUCAAGAUAAUGAGGUCGUGUGCGCAUAAAAUUUAUCGCACCUAAAAUUCAUGAUAAUAAGCAGGAAUAAUUGUUUCAUUUUAUUUUUAAAAAGAAUAGAUUAUUUUUCGAGACAAUGAGGUCACUUACACACAAAACUGAUAAAAUAAAAAUCCUAAACGAAAAUAUCACUAUUUAUUAAAAAUAGACUAUUUUUCAGAAAGACGAUGUCACUUACCUAAAAUAUUUGAAAGAGAACUUCUACAAAAUUCGGCUAGAGAGCGAAGAGCGGUGAAAGCACCAUGGGUAAAGUCCUUAGAGGAAGUAAAGCCGAAAGGCUUUUCAGUGACACUCUUUAGACCAAAGGACAACUUCUUUUAUAAAACAUACAUGGCUUAACACGCAUGAUGCAAAACGUUACACAUCAUUUAAGUGUGUCAAUAGAGGGUUAACUGCAAUAUAUGGCACUGCCACCACACAAUAUUACAAUUAAGCAGCAUCUUAUGGAGGCACGUCAGCUUUACUUAAGCUGGCAAGAAGAAAAGUUUUGGACGCUUGCAAACAAUUAUGAUAAAAGAGCUGAUGGACCAAAGGUCUACCUUAAAGGAAUGGACUAGCAAAAAAAAAANNNNNNNNNNNNNNNNNNNNCUUUGAAUUAUUAAUCAAAUAUCCAAGAAGCCUGGGUCCAUAUUUAAAUAGAGGAGUUUUUUUUUUUUUUGCGUAAGAGAAAGAUGGUCCCCGUUGUGCAUUUUGCCACCAUGAAUUAUCGUUCUAAAUAUUUCAUUAUGUAUUUUACUUUAUUUUAUUUUAUUUAUUUAUUUUUAUUGUAUUUAUUCUAUUAAAACUAUUAUUAUUAUUAUUAUUAAUUUUUUUAUUUUAUUUAUUUUUAUUUAUUUUUUAAAAAAAUUUCAGGAUUAUUACACAUCUGGCCUCUGAGACACGAACCUUUUAACCACAGGCUUCCUAUCUUCACCUAGAAUUUUAUCACAUCACUCUAGAUAGCCGCAUCCAGUCUCAUUCUAAUGGUUGUCAUGAUAAGAUAAAUGUGUGUUAGAUAUAUGCUUACAAAUUAACACCAAAAUGCUUCUACAUUAUGUUAAUGAAUGAAUAAUACAUACCUUCCAAUUAGAGCAUUUAUAAAAAUGUCUAUUGUAGUUACCGUGUGUCUUUGAUAUAAACACACACAUCCGACUAUAUCAUGGUUUACGUUUACAAAUCCUUGGAGGGAAUUGGUCAUUGAGAUCCGUUCUAUAAAGAAGUCACAACGAAUAUAUUAAAAACUUCAUCACUCUAUCGCAUCCAUGAAUUGCAUCAGCCAUUAAAGUGAAAAGAGUUAUUUUGAAACUCAAAAGUUUGGAACAAAUACAUAGAGAGAGAGUACCUAUACACAGAGAGAAUACCUACAACAGAUUUAUGAUAUAAACUCAUUUUAGCUGGUCAAAUGCAUAGCGAGAGAGAAUACCUAUAAAUGAGUUUACACUGAAAUAGAAAAUACAAUUUAUUUCAAUUUUAAUAAUACCAUUCAUAUUUUAUCUCAACCUAUAGAAACAUAUGCAAAAAUUGCAACAUAUGGAUAUCACAGAUCUGUGAUACAAACUCAAUACAGCAGAAGCAAACAACCCCAAGGUUUUUGAAGCAUAUCAACAUAUGGAUAUUAUAGAUUUGGAUAUUUACUUCUUUGAAGCAUAUCAAUUUUUUGCUGAUUGUGUUAAUAUGUGCAAGGCUUUUGCAAAAAAAAUAUUAUGAUUAUGUUUUGAAGAUUUUUUGUUUUGCAGUUCAACAAUUGUAGCUACAUUCCACUGAUAUUGACAAAUAUGUAGGCAACGUUUGAUCCAUUUAUCCUUUUUCUUACAUUCAUAUGAAGUGUUGUUGCUUAAUUCUUUGAUGCUCUACUGUUGUUUUUUAAGUAAUGGGCUAUUUUCUUAGUGGAACGUGUUAAUUUUACAGGAACCUAAAAUCAGAAGCAAUGCUUGGUGCAUUAGUCCUAAAAGAAGAGUUCUGGUUGUGUAAGGUUUUUAAUUGAUAAAUAAGUUUAAUUGAAUUUGAUUAACGAAACAUUCUAAAUGAAUUUUGUUGUUUUCCAAAACAGAUGAUCCAAACAAAGCCUUGACCAGGAAUGUCACUGUAGAAACUUCGUACUAACUUUUGUGCUAUAUAAACUCAUAUGCAAACAAAAACAUUACAGAAGAACCAAACAAGAAGAAUGGUUCCUAUAGUAGCAUAAAAUCCCACAACCCAAAGCAUUUGAUUAAUGAAACACCCUAAGGGAACUUUAUUUUCCAAAACAGAUGAUCCAAACAAGGGCUUGACCAGGAAUGUCAUUGUAGAAACUUCAUACUAAGCUUUGUGCUAUAUAAAACUCAUAUGCAAACAAAGAAAUUACAGAACCAAACAGGAAGAAUAGCUCCUGUAGUAGUAUAAAAUCCCACAGCCCAAAGCCUAUAUACACCAAAAUUCACCAACAUAUCCACUAUACUACUUCAAGCAUUGAAAUUCACCAACAUAUCCACCAUUCUACUUCAGGCACCAAAAUUCACUAACAUAUCCACCAUACUACUUCAAAUACAUAGAAAGAGAGAGAGAGUACCUACCCGAGAUGGUGCUCGAGCGGCAAAGAGAGCCAGUGAGCGGCUUGUGGGUUCAAGCAGGGGAAUGGCCUUUGGACAGUGGAGGUGGGGGGCCAAUGGGGUUUUCUAAACGAUUAGGGGAAAGAGAGAGACAGGGAGUAAGAGGCAGAGAGAGUGCACGAGCAGUCUAUGGGUUUGAGUAGGGAAUGGCUUGGCACAGGGAUGACGAAGAAAACCACGGAGGAGAGAGAAAGAAAAUGCCCUGAGCUUAGAAGAGAGAGAGAAUAGCAUUUUUUUAUCCCUGUGUCAGCCGAUCAUUAC
rnacentral:lncRNA from 1 species